UGAGUGUCCUGCUAUCCAGGGAGCCAGGGGGUCUCAUCCCACCAUCCUGGACAUUCCUAACCAGCUCUAUUACGAAGGGGAGCUGCAGGCCUGUGCUGAUGUCGUGGAUCGAGAACGCUUCUGCCGCUGGGCAGGCCUACCUCGACAGGGCUUUCCCAUCAUCUUUCACGGCGUAAUGGGCAAAGAUGAGCGUGAAGGCAACAGCCCAUCCUUCUUCAACCCUGAAGAGGCUGCCACAGUGACUUCUUACCUGAAGCUGCUCCUGGCCCCCUCCUCCAAGAAGGGCAAAGCCCGCCUGAGCCCUCGAAGCGUGGGAGUCAUCUCCCCGUACCGGAAACAGGUGGAGAAAAUCCGUUACUGCAUCACCAAACUUGACAGGGAGCUUCGAGGACUGGAUGACAUCAAGGACUUGAAGGUGGGUUCAGUGGAAGAAUUCCAAGGCCAAGAACGAAGCGUCAUCCUCAUCUCCACCGUGCGAAGCAGUCAGAGCUU
rnacentral:sRNA from 1 species